rnacentral:rRNA from 1 species
UACGGGGGGGAGCAAGCGUUGUUCGGAUUUACUGGGCGUAAAGGGCGCGUAGGCGGUCGUGACAAGUCACUUGUGAAAUCUCCGGGCUUAACUCGGAACGGUCAAGUGAUACUGUCGGACUAGAGUACAGAAGGGGGCAACUGGAAUUCUCGGUGUAGCGGUGAAAUGCGUAGAUAUCGAGAGGAAUACCAAAGGCGAAGGCAGGUCACUGGGCAGUUACUGACACUGAGGCACGAAGGCUAGGGGAGCAAACGGG